rnacentral:rRNA from 1 species
UGCCAGCAGCCGCGGUAAUACGGAGGGUGCAAGCGUUGCUCGGAAUCACUGGGCUUAAAGGGUGCGUAGGCGGUUUAAUAGGUAGGGUGUGAAAUGCCAGGGCUCAACCUUGGCACGGCGCUCUAAACUGUUAAACUUGAGUGAGAUAGGGGUGUACGGAACUUCCGGUGGAGCGGUGAAAUGCGUUGAUAUCGGAAGGAACACCGGUGGCGAAAGCGGUACACUGGGUCUUAACUGACGCUGAGGCACGAAAGCUAGGGUAGCGAACGGGAUUAGAUA